UACGAAGGGGGCUAGCGUUGUUCGGAAUUACUGGGCGUAAAGGGCGCGUAGGUGGCCUGAUAAGGGUGUGGUGAAAGUCCGGGGCUCAACCCCGGAUCUGCCGUGCCGACUGUUAGGCUAGAGUACUGUAGGGGCGGGUGGAAUUCCGGGUGUAGCGGUGGAAUGCGUAGAGAUCCGGAAGAACACCGGUGGCGAAGGCGGCCCGCUGGGCAGGAAGACGGGGCAACCCGUCGGCUGACACUGAGGCGCGACAGCGUGGGGAGCAAACAGG
rnacentral:rRNA from 1 species